CCCUUAGAUGUUCUGGGCCGCACGCGUGCUACACUGAGUGGAUCAGCGGGUCAGGUUGCGCGAAAGUGUUUCCUAAUCUUGAAAUCCGCUCGUGAUGGGGAUUGACGGUUGCAAUUUUCCGUCAUGAACGAGGAAUACCUUGUAAGCGCGGGUCAUCAUCCCGCGCUGAAUACGUCCCUGCCCUUUGUACACACCGCCCGUCGCUCCUACCGAUUGAGUGGUCCGGUGAGGCUUUGGGAUCUGAGCGGAAAGAGCGUUUCGCUGUUUCUGCUCGGAAAACUCAGUCGAACCUUAUCAUUUAGAGGGAGGAGAAGUCGUAACA
rnacentral:rRNA from 1 species